GCGACGAUGCGUAGCCGACCUGAGAGGGUGAUCGGCCACCGUGGGACUGAGACACGGCCCAGACCCCUACGGGAGGCAGCAGUAGGGAAUCUUCCGCAAUGGACGAAAGUCUGACGGAGCAACGCCGCGUGAGCGAAGAAGGCCUUCGGGUCGUAAAGCUCUGUUGUUAGGGAAGAACAAGUACGAGAGUAACUGCUCGUACCUUGACGGUACCUAACCA
rnacentral:rRNA from 1 species